rnacentral:rRNA from 1 species
UUAGGGGAGGCAGCAGUGGGGAAUUUUGGACAAUGGGCGAAAGCCUGAUCCAGCAAUGCCGCGUGCAGGAUGAAGGCCUUCGGGUUGUAAACUGCUUUUGUACGGAACGAAAAGCUUCGGGUUAAUACCUGGGAGUCAUGACGGUACCGUAAGAAUAAGCACCGGCUAACUACGUGCCAGCAGCCGCGGUAAUACGUAGGGUGCAAGCGUUAAUCGGAAUUACUGGGCGUAAAGCGUGCGCAGGCGGUUUUGUAAGACAGAGGUGAAAUCCCCGGGCUCAACCUGGGAAUUGCCUUUGUGACUGCAAGGCUGGAGUGCGGCAGAGGGGGAUGGAAUUCCGCGUGUAGCAGUGAAAUGCGUAGAUAUGCGGAGGAACACCGAUGGCGAAGGCAAUCCCCUGGGCCUGCACUGACGCUCAUGCACGAAAGCGUGGGGAGCAAACAGGAUUAGAUACCCUGGUAGUCCACGCCCUAAACGAUGUCAACUGGUUGUUGGGUCUUAACUGACUCAGUAACGAAGCUAACGCGUGAAGUUGACC